AGGCUGUCACUUACCUGCAUGAAGCCGGAAUCGCUAGUAAUCGCCGGUCAGUCAUACGGCGGUGAAUUCGUUCUCGGGUCUUGUACAUACCACCCGUCACACUAUGGGAGCUGGCUAUGCCCGAAGUCGUUACCUUAACGCAAGGAGAGGGGUGCCAAAGGUAGGGCUAGUGACUGGAGUGAAGUCGUAACAAGGUAGUUGUCCUGGAAGGUGCGGUUGGAUCACCUCCUUUUCAGGGAGAGCUAAUGCUUGUUGGGUAGUUUAGUUUAACACUUUUCACACCCAAAAAGAAAAGUUAUGUCUGCCUAAAAUGAUAAUAUGAAAAGUAAUCUUUUAAAAUUAUUAUUUGCAUGACCUAGCAGAUAAAAUUUUAGCAUCUUUAAUGGCCAAACAUGUUCAGUUUUAUGUUUUCACUGUGUACUGUUCGCCAACCAUUAUUGAUCUGUGUUUGUCAUUGCAGAUGCUAUGAUGCAAAUCUCAUAGACAUUCCUGUUGAAAUAGAGAGUCGUGCUCAUCAUUUUAUCAUGUGAUGAUUAGUUUCUUUUAUAUUUGCAUAGUUCUCUUUUACGAUAUUGAUUUGCUUAGUUUUGUGCAACACCAUAAAAAUUAAAUGCUUAAUUGUACUUUUGAUCUCAAAUAUAAUAAUUGUGUGAUUUUGGUAUCUCAGUUUCUAAUUACAUGAAUUAACUCCUCCCGUUAUUGCAACUGUGCAAUUUUAGUCACAUUUUUAAUCCCUAUGAUAUCACAUUUGUGAGACCAAACAUGACGUCAUCAUGUGUCAAGCAACAUGUUAGCUGCCACCAUCAUCUAGUCCAUGCCAGCAAAAUAUAUUUUAUAGAAUGAAAGAGGGGUCAAAAUCUAACAAUUGCAAUACCUGGAGAACCAACAUUGUUAUUAAGCAAAAAUUAAAUUACGGGCAUAUACUUAGAUUUUGUGUUUUGUUCCUUUUGUGCAGCUUGCGUUCUUCACCAACAGGAGAGUGAGUGCAAAUGAGGAGUUGACAUGGGAUUAUGGUAUUGUUUUUGCUGAUCACGACCAUCCUAUUAAAGCAUUUCAGUGUUGUUGUGGAAGCGUACGUCUUUUGUUGUGAUAAGAAACAAAAAGGAAAAGGAAAAAUAGAAAAUCAGGUUGAUGUAACAAGAGGAAUGUCUGAACUCAAACAAUUGAAGUGAAGCACUCGAAGGUGGGAAACAAAUAAAUUUCUUGAGGAAUUCCUUGUUCUAUUUCCAUUAUGUAUCCAAACUGUAAUUUCAACACCAUUUGGUUCAUAUAUUGAAGCAUCAUGUUAGUACAAAUUAUUAAUUUUAAUUAGAUGAUAGUCUUGACAUUUUCUCUCCAAUGAUGUCUUUUGUGAAGCACUCUUUGAUCUAUUUGGUGCCUUCGCUUAAGAUGCCGUUGCCUACCUACUAUUCAUCAUUAGGGGAAGGAACUACAAUGCUGAAAAUGAAAACUAAGAAACUCAGGAGUCUAGAUGUACAGGUGGGAGUAAUUUGGACUUUUAUUCGUUAAUUUUGUCUGCAAAUGUUUUGGGCAUUUGUUGUUAAUUGAUUUGUAACAUCCUGCCCAAAGUGGGCAUAUAGAACUCAAUUUGAAUUUGUCAGAAAUUUUAUUGUAGUCUAUUAGGAUUGGAUAACAUCCUUUUAGUCAAGGAUCAGAUGAUUAUGAGGCAUCAUCCUAUGUAUAAAUUAUCUUAAU